rnacentral:tRNA from 1 species
GCGGCUGUGGUCCAGUGGUUAUGACAUAGGCUUCCCAAGCCUGUAACCCGGGUUCGAAUCCCGGCAGCCGCAC